GAUGAACGCUGGCGGCGUGCCUAAUACAUGCAAGUCGAGCGAACAGACGAGGAGCUUGCUCCUCUGACGUUAGCGGCGGACGGGUGAGUAACACGUGGAUAACCUACCUAUAAGACUGGGAUAACUUCGGGAAACCGGAGCUAAUACCGGAUAAUAUAUUGAACCGCAUGGUUCAAUAGUGAAAGACGGUUUUGCUGUCACUUAUAGAUGGAUCCGCGCCGCAUUAGCUAGUUGGUAAGGUAACGGCUUACCAAGGCAACGAUGCGUAGCCGACCUGAGAGGGUGAUCGGCCACACUGGAACUGAGACACGGUCCAGACUCCUACGGGAGGCAGCAGUAGGGAAUCUUCCGCAAUGGGCGAAAGCCCGACGGAGCAACGCCGCGUGAGUGAUGAAGGUCUUCGGAUCGUAAAACUCUGUUAUUAGGGAAGAACAAAUGUGUAAGUAACUAUGCACGUCUUGACGGCACCUAAUCAGAAAGCCACGGCUAACUACGUG
rnacentral:rRNA from 1 species